rnacentral:rRNA from 1 species
UACAGAGGGGGCAAGCGUUGUUCGGAAUUACUGGGCGUAAAGGGCGCGUAGGCGGCCAACUAAGUCAGACGUGAAAUCCCCAGGCUCAACCUGGGAACUGCGUCUGAUACUGGAUGGCUCGAGUUCGGGAGAGGGAAGUGGAAUUCCAGGUGUAGCGGUGAAAUGCGUAGAUAUACUGGAGGAACACCGGUGGCGAAGGCGGCUUCCUGGACCGACACUGACGCUGAAGCGCGAAAGCAUGGGGG